GAAGUUUUACGGAAUCUUUCGGGAGGAAGUAAAAAAUUCUAGCGGCGGACGGGUGAGUAACACGUGGGUAACCUGCCUGUAAGACUGGGAUAACUCCGGGAAACCGGAGCUAAUACCGGAUACCAUUUCGCUUCGCAUGAAGCGAUGUUGAAAGAGGGUUUUGCUCUCACUUACAGAUGGACCGGCGGCGCAUUAGAGAGUUGGUGGGGUAACGGCCCACAAAGGCGACGAUGCGUAGCCGACCGGAGAGGGUGAGC
rnacentral:rRNA from 1 species